GACGAACGCUGGCGGCGUGCUUAACACAUGCAAGUCGAGCGGUAAGGCCCUUUCGGGGGUACACGAGCGGCGAACGGGUGAGUAACACGUGGGUGACCUGCCCUCAGCUCUGGGAUAAGCCUGGGAAACCGGGUCUAAUACCGGAUAUGACUCCAUGACGCAUGUUGUGGGGUGGAAAGCCUUGUGCGGCUGAGGAUGGGCCCGCGGCCUAUCAGCUUGUUGGUGGGGUGAUGGCCUACCAAGGCGACGACGGGUAGCCGGCCUGAGAGGGCGACCGGCCACACUGGGACUGAGACACGGCCCAGACUCCUACGGGAGGCAGCAGUGGGGAAUCUUGCGCAAUGGGCAAAGCCUGACGCAGCGACGCCGCGUGAGGG
rnacentral:rRNA from 1 species